rnacentral:rRNA from 1 species
AUGACCAUGAGCGCCCCGACUCCCGCCAUCCACUCGCUCAGCGCGCCGCCGCGGCCGCAGGCGCCGGCAACGCCUCCUCUCCGGCGCGCUACCUCCGCGGUAUCCACCCUCCGGGAGUCCCCACAGCCGCCUCUAGCGCCCCUGAGCAUCUCCUCUCGGCGCGCCGCCCUCCUCGCCCUCGUCCUGGCCGCCUCGCCGGCAAGGCCCGCCGCCGCCGCCUUCUCCUUCAGCUUCCCUGGGCCGAAGGAGUUGCUGCGGGAGCAGAAGAGGAAGUCGGCGCGCUUCCUCCUCGCGCCCAUCGCCGCCUCCCGCGAGACCCUCGUCAAGGCCCAGAACCUUCUCGCUUCGGAGAAUGCGUCUGCGGCGGACGCGGAGGAGGUGAGGGGGCGGCUGAGCGCGGCGGGGAGGGACUGCGUGCCGCGGGAGAGGAACUCGGUAGUCGCCUUUCAGUCACGAACCGGCGUCGAGGUCUGCACAUUCAGCUUGAUUCUGAAGAAUGCCGCGUCGCUGCUCGACGAUAAGGAUCCUCUCAAGGUUGAAGCUGAUACCAGCCUUGCAGAGCUAAUACAAUCAUUCUCUGACCUGGGAACUGUGGUGGAGAACAGUAACUUUGAGCUCAGUGAUGAUAGAAAGAAGAUGAAGGAUGACCUGCUGAGCACUAUCUCCGCCCUUGAUAAAUACGAACAGGGUGUUAAGGAUUGUUUAGGUGUAUAG